GGCGGGGUGCCGGAGUGGUUAAUCGGAGCAGUCUGUAAAAUUGCCGCCCGUAAGGGCUACGUAGGUUCAAAUCCUACCCCCGCCA
rnacentral:tRNA from 3 species